AUCAGACUCGGGCACGCGAUCGCGGACAAAGUUGCGGCGUUGUUCUGAGCGACGCCACUCCGGCGCCUCGCUGCCGGAGUGGUGUUCU
rnacentral:sRNA from 1 species